AGACCAAUAGCGAACAAGUACUGUAAAGGAAAGUUGAAAAGUACACUGUUAAGUGGGUGAAAAAGCGUCUGAAAUUAUGAAGAAUUAAGCGUGAUCAGCGCGUUAUAGGAGACUAGAUACUCAAGGCAGUCUUCGGAUUGUUGUACUUAUCUAGUUCGAUCAGCAUCAUUCUACUUGUAGAAUGUUCAACUGAUGGACAACCAACUUUAGGAUAUGUUGUUUUAUUACUGGCAACACCCUAUCCUCAUUCCUGAUAAGCUCUGCUUGUUAGGGUGUGGUAGGGUUAGUUAGUUUAAGGUGGUAUAUCUAAUUCAAGAGUUUUUGUUCUCAAUGCUGAUCCUCAAUGACGGCUGAAACCGACCCGUCUUGGAACACGGACCAAGGAG
rnacentral:rRNA from 1 species